rnacentral:rRNA from 1 species
UCAGUCGACUCCUACGGGGAGGCAGCAGUGGGGAAUAUUGCACAAUGGGGGAAACCCUGAUGCAGCCAUGCCGCGUGUGUGAAGAAGGCUCGGGUUGUAAAGCACUUUCAGUAGGGAGGAAGGUAGUGUAGUUAACACCUGCACAUUUGACGUUACCUACAGAAGAAGCACCGGCUAACUCCGUGCCAGCAGCCGCGGUAAUACGGAGGGGUGCGAGCGUUAAUCGGAAUUACUGGGCGUAAAGCGCAUGCAGGCGGCCUGUUAAGUCAGAUGUGAAAGACCCGGGGCUUAACCUCGGAAUUGCAUUUGAAACUGGCAGGCUAGAGUCUUGUAGAGGGGGGUAGGAAUUUCAGGUGUAGCGGUGAAAUGCGUAGAGAUCUGAAGGAAUACCAGUGGCGAAGGCGGCCCCCCUGGACAAAGACUGACGCUCAGAUGCGAAAGCGUGGGGAGCAAACAGGAUUAGAUACCCCUGGUAG